CUUCCGAGCUCUGACCACUGUCCGUCUGUCUCGCAUCCCAUCGCGUCUCAUCUCAUCCCCGCCCUACCAGUAAUUUACCAAACCCCUCUGCAUUCCUCCACAAUUAAACACCACAGUGGGCUCGACUCGGAGAGGGGGUGCCACCACUUUAACUGAACACACCACCUUCCUGCCUGCCUGCCCUCCCCUCCUUCCUCCUCCUCACUUCGCCUCUCACCCUUCCUCCCCCCUUCCAGUCGGUGCGCGCAGGCGGCGCUAGGUCUUGGAGGCGGGGAGCCAUGGCCUGACUUACGGGUUCCUUCUUCAAAUCUUCUUCGCGAGUGGUGUGGGGCUGAUCGGAGACGCAAGGAGGGGUGUGUUCGAGGUGAGAGAUAGAUAAAGGAGCAAACAAAGCGCAACGAAAGAAAACAGACAGAGAGAGAUUGUUCAGAGAUGAAGAGCAGCAGCGUCCAAGAAGCGUGUGAGGAUCAGGUGUCCGAGAUCAGCAGCCAGGCGGCGUCCAACAACAACGAGGCGUCCAACACCUCCUCCGGCCCCAAGCUCGCCCUCGACCUGUCGCUCACCGUCACCGCGGCCGCCGCCGCCGCCACCACGACCGCCGAGUCGAGCACCACCGACAGCAACAACGGCGGCGGGCAGGCCGCGCGCGAGCCGACGCGGGUGUUCACCUGCAACUACUGCCAGAGGAAGUUCUUCAGCUCGCAGGCGCUGGGCGGGCACCAGAACGCGCACCGGCGGGAGCGCACGCUGGCCCGGCGCGCGGUGCACCGGCUGGAGGCCUACCCCUACGGCUACGCCGACGUGGCCUCCCUCCCGCUCUACGGCUCCCCCGGGCUGUACCCCAUCGGCAUCCAGGCGCACGCGUCGGCGCUCCAGGGCGCGGCGGCGCAGGCGGAGCGGCAGCAGCACCAGCAGCAGGACGCCGCGGUCCUGGCAGCGCCGGCGCGCGCGCGGGCGCUGCUGGGCCCGAUGCCGUUCCUCGUGGGCGGCGACGAGGAGGUCAGCUUCGGGUGGCCCGGCAGCUUCAGGCCACCGCCACCGGGCGCCGGCGUGCUCCCCCUCCUCCACUCAGGCCCCAACUUCGGCAGCAGCAGCGGCAGCGGCAGCGUCGUGGUGCAAGCCGACGAGGAGCCCGACCUGACGCUUAGACUCUAGCCGCCAUCCGUACGCCGUCCAUCGCUGCGCUUAUACUACGUACUAGGUUGGUGCAACUCGUCAGGCUCCCGACGCCGAUCAACAGAUCAUGGUGGUAGACGACCCGUAUUUGUUUCAUGCGUGCGUGGGUACGUACGUACGUACGCUCGUGGAAGUAUUUCUGUACAGUUUUGGUGCUCUUCUGUGGUAUUGGUAGUAGCGUGUACCCUACAACUUCCCGCGG
rnacentral:rRNA from 1 species